CUACCUUAGUCAAAAGAAGCGAACAGCAGUUAUGGCUGAGAAUAAAUGACUGUUAAGUGCUCAGCCCUAAAUAGGGCAUCUGUAUUAACCCUGCCACAGCUCAGGAACCAUUGCUGAGGAGGAAGAAUGUAAGAGCUGGAGGACAGGAGGAGAGCCAUGAAACACUGUCUUCGGGACAUGGCCUGGCCAUUGUACUCAGGAACUCACAGUAGCUGAGCCCCAACAUUCCAGCAUGGAUGGAGAAAGAGCCUCACAAUGGACUUCAGUAAGCCUGUGUGUGCUGGUCUUCCUGGAUAGAGCAGCCGGAAGUGAAGAGUGUGGAACUUGCCAUCCAAGACCACAGUUGUCACCAAGAUCUGCAUGGCAACCACUCAGGAGGGCUCCUGCUGGGUGUUCUCCGUGUCUGGAGCCGCUCUGUAACCACAGGCCCACCGCUCACCAAGGCCUCUGCCUACCGUAGGAAGUGGCGCUGUGUUUGUUCACCCGGCGGAGCUUCCAAGGAUAUGCAUUAAACUUGCGUCCCUGCCAGCCCUGGCAGUUUGCGGCAUUCUUGCUGAGGAAAGGCUCGUUUUCCUGCACUCAAGGAGGCAUGGCACUGUGUAACCUUGGUGGUCUCCACACUUCUUAUAACUGAACUUGGAGCUGUACUGCUCUGUCAAACUUUUUCCUGCACUCAAGGAGGCAUGGUAAUGCCAUGAAGGGGACAGGUAACACCAUGAAGCUCUCAGAUCUUCUCUUCCAGACACCAUUAACCCUUAAAGGGAUCAGGUAUGAAUCAAUACUAUUACAAAUAAAGAAUUGUGUUACCAGGAGGCUAGGGACAGAUCUUCCUUAUUUAAUUGUAAUUAAUAAACGAGGAAUGAAGAGCAUUAAUCUAAGGGAAAAUCCACACAAACCAGAGAUUGUAAUUUAAAUGAGCCUUGAGGUUGUUAGUAUUCAGGCAUCUGUGCUGGCCUGUCCUUGGGGUUCUGAUAGGGUACGCCCUCAGCUGCUGCCACUAAGAGUACCCCCUGUGCACAUUCACUAUGUUCCCCUUUAAAAAGGCCCUGCCCAACUCCCAUCCCUCCCUCUCUCCCUCUCCUCCUCCCCUCUCUUUCUCUGCCCUUUUUCUGCCCCUCUCUCCCCUAUAGCCCCUCUGCCCCAUUGGUUCCCUGACCAGGAAGGCUCUCCUGCCUCUCCUCCUGUCCGCAGGCAGUUUAAGGCACACCAGGACUCUGGAACCGGGUUCACAUACAACAGCCUUGCUUCUCCAGAUUGCUGGGUCCCUUCAUCCAAAACCAGCAUGAUUGGUGAGCCCCUCUCCAUUCCUCCACCUUGAAGGGACCAGCUCCCCAUUUCGGCAGCCAUAACAGCCGAACACGCACUUGUCUGACCUUGCCUUGGUCACUAGGAGGUCAAAUGCCUGCCUCAUGGCAAGGAACCAAUCAGAAGUUAGCUGGUGGUGAUGUGCUUUACGGAUAAGUGCACAGCAAUGAUGCACAGAGCAUAGCAACCACCCUGGGAGGGCCUAUUGGUCAACCAGUUGACCAAUCAACACAAGGCAAACCCUCCAAGCCUGGAGGCACACCAAUCCUGAGCCUGUUCGUACCCCUAGACACUCCCCUUACGCUUCCCUAUAAGAUGCAAAUGCUUCGAGCUGUGUUUUCUAGCCGUCUUCCAUGGCCGGUGGAUGAAAGACCCAAGCUAACAUGGGGUUAGCUCGUUAAACAACUAUAAUAAAGCCUCGUGCAGUUCUCAUCAAGCUUUCGACUCUGCCUGGUGAUUGGAGUGACCAAGGUCCUGGGCUGAGAUCCUGGAGGCCUGAGCUUCCUUACAACCUCUGGCUGUUCCCACGAAUGAGAACUCCUCUCAUCUCUAGGGUGUGGUUUCUCACUUUUUGGCUUUGUUAAGUCCUGGUGCCAGGCAACCGCAGCUCUCUGGGGAUCAUCUGAGCCCUUGGCCCACCCUUUGUGUGAGGACCCACUGGGUGGCCUGUGCCAGUCUGGAUCCUCAAGUCCUUUGAUGGGGAAUGUACUGUGUAUGUUUAUCUUAUUGAUUGUUAAAUAAAAUACUGUUUGGCCAAUGAGACAGCAAGUAGAUGGGACUAGGAGUCAAAGAGGAUUCUGGGAAAUGUAGUAGAGAAGUGGUGAUCCAGGCAGGAAGUGACAUAGCAAGGAGACUCAUAUUUAAGUGAAGGAGAAACAGGAAGGGUCCCUUUAUCCCCUUCCUGCUCCAGCGGCAAGAUGUGAUCCCAGCAAGGAGGGACGCCAAUAAGGAGGGACGUCUGAUAAGAUAAGUCUUAUAAAAUACAUAGAUUUAUGAUAAUUGAGACUGAGCUAACAGAUGAGAAUCCUAGUCAUUGGCCAAG
rnacentral:lncRNA from 1 species